CAUCACUACGCUAGAUGCAUAUCAAUAAGCGGAGGAAAAGAAACUAACAAGGAUUCCCCUAGUAACGGCGAGUGAAGCGGGAAGAGCUCAAAUUUGAAAUCUUAAAGGGUUUCCCUUUACGAAUUGUAGUUUAAAGAAGUGUUUUCUGUUGGAGUUUCGGUAAAAGUUCUUUGGAAUAGGACAUCAUAGAGGGUGAGAAUCCCGUAUUUGACCGUUACUUUCUAGCUGUGUGAUACACUUUCAACGAGUCGGAUUGUUUGGGAAUGCAGUCCGAAAUGGGUGGUAAAUUUCAUCUAAAGCUAAAUAUUGGCGAGAGACCGAUAGCGAACAAGUACCGUGAGGGAAAGAUGAAAAGAACUUUGAAAAGAGAGUUAAACAGUACGUGAAAUUGUCAAAAGGGAAGCGUUUGACACCAGUGUUGUUUAGUUGAAAAUCAAUUCAAUAAUUUUUGAUUUUGAGUAGUAUUGACUUCAUCAGCUUGCUGCUUUCUUUUCAGGAAAUUAUUGAAUGCACUUUUCAGUUAACAAGUCAGCAUCAAUUUCUUUUGUUGUAAAAGGGUAAGAGGAAGGUGGCUUACGCUUCGGCGUAAGUGUUUAUAGCCUUUUACCUCUGCAAUCGGAGAGAUUGAGGACAGCAGCGUAGACUCUUCGGGGUUAGAUACACUUGUGCUAAGCUAUAGCCUUGUAUAGACAACUUGUUGACUAUGCUCAGUUAUGUAGCUUUACUCGCUUGAUGCUAUUUUACCUACGCUUAGGAUGUUGACACACGCGCGUGCUCG
rnacentral:rRNA from 1 species